GGGAGUUUGGCCGAGUGGUUAAGGCGUUGUGUUUAGGUCUAUCCUUGAUUGUCUUGUCCCUGACGAUUGAACGGAAGCCCGCAAUGGGAAACCGCGCAGGUUCGAAUCCUGCAGCUCUCA